ensembl:misc_RNA 7SK 7SK RNA
CAAUGUGAUAAUCUGGCUGCCACAUCUGUCACUGCAUUGAUCACCAGGGUUGAUUAGGUUGUUCUGGCUGGCUAGGUGGUGCCCCUUUCCUCCCUCUCAGUUCUAUGUGUGUCUCUCCUGAAGCUGCAAGUUCAGUCAAAGUGGACUACCGUCCCCAAAUAGAGGGAUGACCUUCAGUCUAAGGUGUAGGAGUAGCUGCACUCUCUUGCUAGAACCUCCAAAGAAGCUCUAAGGUCUCCUUGAUCUUAAGAAGCAGGCAUCAUAGCAAUAGUUUCUUUCUUAUUCUGAACUUUGCCACAUGUAAUCUAAACUCCUGA